rnacentral:tRNA from 1 species
ACUCAGUAGCUAAGUGGAUAAAGCGAUGGCGUUUGAAGCACAAGGUAUUGGGUUCGAGUCCCAGAGUCU